rnacentral:rRNA from 1 species
GAUGAACGCUGGCGGCGUGCCUAAUACAUGCAAGUCGAGCGAACAGAUAAGGCUCUUGCUCCUUUGACGUUAGCGGCGGACGUGUGAGUAACACGUGGAUAACCUACCUAUAAGACUGGUAUAACUCCGGGAAACCGGGGCUAAUGCCGGAUAACAUUUAGAUCCGCAUGGUUCUAAAGUGAAAGAUGGUUUUGCUAUCACUUAUAGAUGGACCCGCGCCGUAUUAGCUAGUUGGUAAGGUAACGGCUUACCAAGGCAACGAUACGUAGCCGACCUGAGAGGGUGAUCGGCCACACGGGAACUGAGACACGGUCCAGACGCCUACGGGAGGCAGCAGUAGGGAAUCGGCCGCAAUGGGCGAGAGCCUGACGGAGCAACGCGGCGUGAGUGAUGAAGGUCUUCGGAUCGUAAAACUCUGUUAUUAGGGAAGAACAAAUGUGUAAGUAACUGUGCACGUCUUGACGGUACCGAAUCAGAAAGCCACGGCUAACUACGUG